rnacentral:rRNA from 1 species
GACGAAGGUGGCGAGCGUUGUUCGGAAUCACUGGGCAUAAAGCGCACGUAGGCGGCGACGUAGUUGGGUGUGAAAUCCCUCGGCCCAACCGAGGAACUGCGCCCAGUACUGCGUUGCUUGAGGAUCCAAGGGGUGCAUGGAAUUCCCGGUGGAGCGGUGAAAUGCGUUGAUAUCGGGAGGAACUCCGGCGGCGAAAGCGGUGCACUGGUGGAUUACUGACGCUGAGGUGCGAAAGCCAGGGGAGCAAACGGGG